rnacentral:rRNA from 1 species
CGUGUAGGCGGACAAUCAAGUCCGGUGUGAAAGAUCUCGGCUUAACCCAGGAAGUGCAUUUGAAACUCCCUGACUUGAGUACGGGAGAGGAGGGGGGAAUUCCCGGUGUAGAGGUGAAAUUCGUAGAUAUCGGGAGGAAUACCGGUGGCGAAGGCGCCCCUCUGGACCGAUACUGACGCUGAGACGCGAAAGCGUGGGGAGCAAACA